rnacentral:rRNA from 1 species
UACGGAGGGUGCGAGCGUUGUCCGGAAUCACUGGGCGUAAAGGGCGCGUAGGCGGCGCGGGCAGUCAACGGUGAAAGCUUGGGGCUCAACCCCGAGUCGGCCGUCGAUACUCCCGGGCUUGAGCACUGUAGAGGCGGGUGGAAUUCCGGGUGUAGCGGUGGAAUGCGUAGAGAUCCGGAAGAACACCGGUGGCGAAGGCGGCCCGCUGGGCUGUUGCUGACGCUGAGGCGCGACAGCGUGGGGAGCAAACAGG